rnacentral:rRNA from 1 species
ACUAAGAUCUUCCCUACGGGACGAUCUAUAGGAAUGAGUUAAAUGUAAAUACCUAAACGAGGAGCAACUGGUGGGCAAGUCUGGUGCCAGCAGCCGCGGUAAUUCCAGCACCAGUAGCGUAUGCUAAAGUUGUUGCAGUUAAAAAGCUCGUAGCUGAAGUUUGGCGGGUGAGUCGCAGGGUCCGCCGGGACGGUGUGUACCAGCGGCUCCCCGCUUCCUUCCGGUAUGUGCCCCUCGCGGGCACGAUUUUUUGCUUGCGUGGCGGGGCUUCACUGUUCCUGCCGCGCGAAGCUCCGGAUCUUUCACUGUGAAAAAAUUAGAGUGUUCAAAGCAGGCCUAAUAUAUGCCUUGAAUAUUUCAGCAUGGGAUGAUGGAACAGGUCUUUGCGCCUAUUUUGUUGGUUUUCUAGGAGGCGAAGAAAUGAUUAAUGGGAACAGUUAGGGGAAUUCAUAUUUAACAGUCAGAGGUGAAAUUCUUGGAUUUGUGAAAGAUGAACUUCUGCGAAAGCAUUUUCCAGAGAUGCUUCCGUCAGUCAAGAACUAAAGUUGGGGGAUCGAAGAUGAUCAGAUACCGUCGUAGUCUCAACCAUAAACUAUGCCGACCAGGGAUUCGGGGCACGUUAAAACCGUUGGACGACUCCCCGAGCACCUUGCGAGAAAUCAUUGAGUCUUUGGGUUCUGGGGGGAGUAUGGUCGCAAGGCUGAAACUUAAAGAAAUUGACGGAAGGGCACACCAAGAGUGGAGCCUGCGGCUUAAUUUGACCCAACGCGGGGAAUUUUACCAAGUCCGGACAGAAAAAGGAUUGACAGAUUAAAGCUCUUUCUUGAUUUUUUGGGUGGUGGUGCAUGGCCGUUUGUAGUUGGUGGAGUGAUUUGUCUGCUUAAUUGCGUUAACGAACGAGACCUCAGCCUGCUAAAUAGUUAUGCGAACGCUCAGCCCGGGUGAAGGGCGCGGGGCAGUGGCUGCCUUCGGGCGGUUGCACCCCGCGCCUGGAUCCUUGAUGCGUUCGUAGCAAUACUUCUUAGAGGGACAAUUGGUAUCAAGCCAAUGGAAGUUUGAGGCAACAACAGGUCUGUGAUGCCCUUAGAUGUCUUGGGCGGCACGCGCGCUACAAUGAUCAGUUCAACGAGUAUGGCACCUUCUGCGGAAGCAGUGGGUAAUCUUUUCAAAGCUGAUCGUGUUGGGGAUAGACCUUUGCAAUUUUGGAUCUUCAACGAGGAAUUCUUAGUAAGUGCAAUUCAUCAUAUUGCGUUGACUUCGUCCCUGCCCUUUGUACACACCGCCCGUCGCUCCAACCGAUGUAGGAUCCGGUGAAAUCUCGGGAUGGCGGGUCAAUCCGCAUGGGCAACUGUGCGGCUAACCUGCCAGAACCUGCU